GAUGAAUGCUGGCGGCGUGUCUAAGGCAUGCAAGUCGAGCGGAUUCGUUUCGGUAGCAAUACCAAGACGAGUCAGCGGCAAACGGGUGCGUAACACAUUGGUAACCUACCUCGAAGUCGGGCACAACUCGCCGAAAGGCGAGCUAAUUCCACGAUGGCCAUGCGGGGACAUAUGUCAUUCGCAUGUAAAGCGCAAAACGCGCUUCGAGAGGGGCCUAUGGCCUAUCAGCUAGUUGGCGGGUUAAAAGCCCACCAAGGCUAUGACGGGUAGGGGAUGUGAGAGCAUGAUCCCCCU
rnacentral:rRNA from 1 species